rnacentral:rRNA from 1 species
GACGAACGCUGGCGGCGUGCCUAAUACAUGCAAGUCGAGCGCAGGAAACUGACGGAACUCUUCGGAGGGAAGGCAGUGGAAUGAGCGGCGGACGGGUGAGUAACACGUAAGGAACCUGCCUCAAGGAUUGGGAUAACUCCGAGAAAUCGGAGCUAAUACCGGAUAGUUCAACGGACCGCACGGUCCGCUGAUGAAAGGCGCUUCGGCGUCACCUUGAGAUGGCCUUGCGGUGCAUUAGCUAGUUGGUGGGGUAACGGCCCACCAAGGCGACGAUGCAUAGCCGACCUGGGAGGGUGAUCCGCCACACUGGGACUGGGACACGGCCCAGACUCCUACGGGAGGCAGCAGUAGGGAAUCUUCCACGAUGGACGAAAGUCUGAUGGAGCAACGCCGCGUGAGUGAUGAAGGUUUUCGGAUCGUAAAACUCUGUUGUAAGGGAAGAACACGUACGAGAGGAAAUGCUCGUACCUUGACGGUACCUUACGAGAAAGCCACGGCUAACUACGUGCCAGCCGCCGCGGUAACAC